CUGUAGAAGAGGAGCCUCAAAAUCUGAAAGUUGCCUUGUUUCACCACAGCUGUCCAGAACCAGCCUUGAUGCCAUCACUACUUCCAGAAAAAAAAAUAGUUCCUAAAUAUCCCACAGAAGAAAACAAGAGAGGCCAAAUUGGUAAGUUCUCCCAUGAGUUGACUAGUGUCACUGGCAGAGGAGCUAAGAAUAG